AUGGCGAAGAAGGCCGCAAAGCGAGCUGUUGGUGAAGCAAGGGGUCGGGCAUAUGAGGACCUCUACCAACGGUUAGGCACGAAGGAAGGUGAAAGGGACAUCUAUAAGAUGGCUAAGAUCCGGGAGAGGAAGACGAGGGAUAUUGGCCAAGUCAAAUGCAUCAAGGACGGAGCAGGCCAACUCUUGGUGAAGGACGAAGAGAUUAAGCAUAGAUGGCGGGAGUACUUCGACAAGCUGUUCAAUGGGGAGAAUGAGAGUUCUACCAUUGAACUGAAUGACUCCUUUGAUGAGACCAGCAUGCGUUUUGUGCGGCGCAUCCAGGAGUCUGAUGUGAAGGAGGCUUUAAAAAGGAUGAAAGGAGGCAAGGCGAUGGGCCCUGAUUGUAUCCCCAUUGAGGUGUGGAAAGGUCUCGGGGACAUAGCGAUAGUAUGGCUAACCAAGCUUUUCAACCUCAUUUUUCGGGCAAACAAGAUGCCAGAAGAAUGGAGA
rnacentral:rRNA from 1 species